rnacentral:hammerhead_ribozyme from 1 species
AUUCAUCUGACAAGUUCUAAAUAGAACGAAAUAUACGUCAUGGAU